rnacentral:lncRNA from 1 species
UUCAUACCUUAUUUCACUAUCUCAAUUCCAUUGGAUUUUUCUUUACAUCUCAUUCCAAUAGUUCAUUUCAAUUCAUAUACAAUUCAUUUCAUUUAAUUUAUAUUCAAUAUAAAUUUUAUUGCAAUUUGUACUCACUAAUAUCAUAUAACAAAAUUUACUCUUUAUCACAUCAUGAACUUUGGGCUCAUAUCUUUAAAUCUCUUAUUUCGAUUUCCAAUUCACACAUCAAUUCACAACUUCACUUUUUCGUUUCUUCCCAUAGCUCAAUCAAUCACAUUUAUUCAAUUUUCUCAUUUCAAUUAUUUACCCCUAUUAACAAGACUCGGACCUUGGCGGAUACACGGAUCCAAUCAAACACACCAAAAUGGCACCCAGUGCCUCAUCGGAUAGUUCGAAGCAAUAGUUGACACCCAGUGUCUCAUCGGCCCAGCCGAAGUAAAGUUGGUACCCAGUACCUCAUCGAAUCUAUCCGAAGAAAUAUAGUGACACCCAGUGUCUCAUCGACUCAAGGUCGAAGUAUCCCUGAACUCUUCCAAUCCUAUGGCAUGCCAACUAUAUCCGACUCAGCCCGACUAGUUAAUAGGGUUUCCGAAUCACAUUUCAAUUCAAUCACUUUCUCAUACUUUCAAUUCAAAUCAUUCCCAUUUAAUCACCAUUUGUUUCAAUACAUUUUUCUAUUUCAAAUUCACUUUCGAUUUAAUCGCAAUUCAACUCAGAUUCACUUCCCACUUUCAAAUCAAUAUACAAUUCAAUACCAAUACAUAUUUCAGAUAUUCACAUAUAAUCAUACUUCGAUUCAAUUCAAACCACUUUUCAAUCAAUACACAAUUCACAUAUUCACA